UCUGUGUGGAACAUAGUAAGACCUGGGACACUUGAGGCCAGCCACUCCUGAAGGGCUACAGUCCGGGUGGGAGCUGGAGGGGGAAACCACGUCAGCACAGUAGUGAUUCUUGAAAGGAGGUGUGCCGCAGUUGGGGACAGAUCUUAUGUUUCCAUGGGAACGACCUCCAAGGCCCCUGUACACCCAGCCUACCUGUGCAAACUUACAUGCUGCGUAUCUAGUUAUCUGUAUGAAGAAGAAAGAUAAAGGCCUAUCUUACACUAAGUCCAGAUUGGAAAGUCGUCGUGGAAGGCCUCUCAGGAAAAUUCCACAACAGGAUGGCCCAGGUAUACUUCCUGGAUUUUCUGUAGCCGGUCCCCCGAGCUGUAGUCUAGUAGUUGCUGCUGCGGGGAGAGAUUAAAGUGACAGCAGGAAGACAGUCUCUGGGUUCUCCUGUAUA
rnacentral:lncRNA from 1 species